rnacentral:ncRNA from 1 species
AUUCAUAUUCAAUAUAAAUCAGUAUAAAGGUGUAAAUAUGCAAAACAGGCUGAUCUUCCCCAAAAGUUCACAUUGAUGGCACCCUGAUGUCGGCUCUUGGCCACCUGAAGCGGUAGUACGUUCCAAAGGUUGGGUUGUUCACCCAUUAAAGCGGUACGUCAGUUGGGUUCAGAACGUCAAGAGACAGUUCGGUCCAUUACUGAUGAAUCCAAGUCAU